UACGGAGGGUGCGAGCGUUGUCCGGAAUCAUUGGGCGUAAAGGGCGCGUAGGUGGCUUCUUAAGCGUGCGGUGAAAGCCUGGGGCUCAACCCCGGGUCGGCCGUGCGAACUGGGGGGCUGGAGCACUGUAGAGGCAGGCGGAAUUCCGGGUGUAGCGGUGGAAUGCGUAGAGAUCCGGAAGAACACCGGUGGCGAAGGCGGCCCACUGGAUCGGUACUGACGCUGAGGUGCGAAAGCGUGGGGAGCAAACAGG
rnacentral:rRNA from 1 species